CUCGUGCCGGCGCCUCGCCGUGGCUCCCCCGCUCCCGCGUGGACGCGGCGGCCGGGGCGCGGGGGGCAGCCACGCCUCGCCUCGGGAGGACAUGCCGAGGGGCGUCCCCCGCCGCCUGCCGAGGGCCGGGCCAGACCGAGCGCGCUGCCCGGCGGGUUCCGAGGGGAGCUGAACCUUGGCCUCGAGGGGGCGCUACCCGGCCCGUCCCAGCGCCCGAAGGCGGCGGAGACGCCCCGGGGUCGAGACCCUGGCCGAGGCCGGGGCGCGGGCAGCCUGGAUCUAGCCAGAGUCCUGGGGACGCGGGGGCGGAGAGCCAGAUUCCGGGGGACAAAGACGGGCGGGCCAGGGGACCCUCCGACGCUGGCCAGCCGCGGCCCCAACGAGCGCGGGGCCUGUGGCUGGAACAAACUUUCCGGCGGCGGAGGGGCGGGGGAGCCGGGCCGCAGGCUUGUCCCUCGAGCCGCCGCGCUCCUCCACCUGCCAGUGUUCAGCCUCCGCCCAGCCUGCGCCCACCCCGGCUCCCUCCCCUCCCCCGCGCCCGUUCGCUCCGACUCCUCAUCUCGCUCCUCUCCCCUCCUCCUUCUCCCUCUUGCCUUUCUCCCCCACUUUUCUCCUCUUUUUCCUCCCAUCUCUCCUUUUGUAUUCUCCCCCCCCCCCCCCGCGGCCCUGCUCGCUUCUCUCCUCCUCCGGGCCGCAGGGGAGGAGGUAAACGAGCUGCGCCCGGGGCCUGCGCGGCGCAGAGGAAGGCGUUUCUCCUACUUCUCCCGGGUAAUUUGGAGAGGUUGUAUGUGCGCGCGCGCGCGUGAGCUUAAGGCGAAAAGGGGUAGGAUCCGGCGCCCAGCAGAGAGGGUCGGGGUCUUUGACGUUCCUCGCCAGCUGCAUAAACCUCCCGGAACAAGUCUGAGUGUGGGUGAGAGUGCGCGCGCGCGCACGGGCUGGCUGCGCUUGGCACGCCUGGUGGCCCGGGGCCCCGGGGCCCGGGGGCCCGCCUGGCGGCCCGGGAUUACCGUGACGUCACAUCGAGCCUCUGGCCACCUUGGGCUGGGACACCUCGGGAGCCGCACAGCCCCGCGCCGCGCCGCACCUUGCCUCGCCACCGCGCGACUUUGGGAACCCGCGUCCUCUCCCUUUCCUUGCCCAUCCAUGGGCCCUUCUGUCUUCCGGACCACGCGGGCCGGAGGGGCGCCUUCUGGAGCGCAGGGCUCGGCAGCGGGACUGCCCCCGGCUCUGCCUCCAGCCGCGCCAAGCGGGCGGAGGACCCCGCGCGGGGCACCCGCAGCGGCGUAA
rnacentral:lncRNA from 1 species